rnacentral:rRNA from 1 species
GACGAACGCUGGCGGCGUGCUUAACACAUGCAAGUCGAACGGAAAGGCCCUGCUUUUGUGGGGUGCUCGAGUGGCGAACGGGUGAGUAACACGUGAGUAACCUGCCCUUGACUUUGGGAUAACUUCAGGAAACUGGGGCUAAUACCGGAUAGGAGCUCCUGCUGCAUGGUGGGGGUUGGAAAGUUUCGGCGGUUGGGGAUGGACUCGCGGCUUAUCAGCUUGUUGGUGGGGUAGUGGCUUACCAAGGCUUUGACGGGUAGCCGGCCUGAGAGUGUGACCGGCCACAUUGGGACUGAUAUACGGCCCAGACUCCUACGGGAGGCAGCAGUGGGGAAUAUUGCACAAUGGGCGGAAGCCUGAUGCAGCAACGCCGCGUUCGGGAUUACGGCCUUCGUGUUGUAGACCGCUUUCGCCUGUGACGAAGCGUUAGUGACGGUAAUGGGUAAAGAAGCACCGGCUAACUACGUG